rnacentral:rRNA from 1 species
GACCCCAGGUCAGGYGGGAUCACCCGCUGAGUUUAAGCAUAUCAA